AUCCUUUUGUGGUUCAGAAGCGGUGAUGAUUGGGUGUUCACACCUGUGCGUGACAUGUGCCUCCCUCCUGGCACAGUACCCGUCUGACG
rnacentral:snoRNA from 1 species